rnacentral:rRNA from 1 species
UACGAAGGGGGCUAGCGUUGCUCGGAAUUACUGGGCGUAAAGGGCUCGUAGGCGGCCAACUAAGUCGGACGUGAAAUCCCCAGGCUCAACCUGGGAACUGCGUCCGAUACUGGAUGGCUUGAAUCCGGGAGAGGGAUGCAGAAUUCCAGGUGUAGCGGUGAAAUGCGUAGAUAUCUGGAGGAAUACCGGUGGCGAAGGCGGCAUCCUGGACCGGCAUUGACGCUGAGGAGCGAAAGCCAGGGGAGCAAGCGGG